CUUAUAAAAAUAUAUUUUUUCGAACGAUAAUCCUAAAUUUUGAAAAUGUAAAAUCAGUUAUCUAUCUCAAGUAAGCUCCAAACUCUGUUUUUAAGCAGAUAAAACCAUUCUAACAUAAAUCAUAAUAAAAGUAAAAGAUUGUUUCCUAUUGGUCUAUCAGAAAAGGUGCGGAUCGCCCUUUUUAAAAUCUUGGCCAUUGGUAGAUGUUAAUCUAACGGAUCAGGAAGAUUUACGUUAUUAAUUUGUUCAUUGUUUUGUUUUUUCUCUUUCUUACUUCCAUCUCCAUCUCCAUCUCCAUCUUAUGCUUCUAUUCCCUUCACUUCCAUCAAUGAAAAAGGAAAAGGCACAACAAGCAUCGAUCUCGAUCACGUUUUGCUUCUCUCUCUCCGAAACUACCUUCGCCGAUCUGAAGAAGUGGCAGUGUGAUGAACCAAAGGUGUGGCGUAACGAAUCGGUGUCGUGAUGAACCGGUGGUGGUGGCAUGACGAUUCGGUUGCUCAUAUCGUCAUAGCUUUAUCUCGUAACUCUCUCAAGCUCUUCGUCUGAGUCAAGCUCGUCACCCAAGGUUGUUGUUGGUCUCCUCGUUGCCGGAAUCAAGCCUGGCACCGGACUCAAGCUCACAGCCGAUUUCGCCACCGGAUUCAAGCUCACCGCAGAUCUCGGGCUCGAAGUUGUGAUUAUUUUUAUUAUAUUGAAAUUAAUUGUAUUAUAUUUUGUGAUUAAUCAGAUUUUGAAUAACAAAAUAGUUAUUUUUA